GGAAUAUUGGGCAAUGGGGGGAACCCUGACCCAGCAACGCCGCGUGAGGGAAGAAGGUUUUCGGAUCGUAAACCUCUGUCCUUGGUGAAGAGGAAGAGACGGUAGCCAAGGAGGAAGCCCCGGCUAACUACGUGCCAGCAGCCGCGGUAAUACGUAGGGGGCGAGCGUUGUCCGGAAUGAUUGGGCGUAAAGGGCGCGUAGGCGGCUCGGUAAGUCUGAAGUGAAAGUCCUGGUUUCAAGUUGGGAAUUGCUUUGGAUACUGUCGGGCUUGAGUGCAGGAGAGGUAAGUGGAAUUCCCAGUGUAGCGGUGAAAUGCGUAGAGAUUGGGAGGAACACCAGUAGCGAAGGCGACUUACUGGACUGUAACUGACGCUGAGGCGCGAAAGUGUGGGGAGCAAACA
rnacentral:rRNA from 1 species